rnacentral:rRNA from 1 species
UACGUAGGGAGCAAGCGUUGUUCGGAUUUACUGGGCGUAAAGGGCGCGUAGGCGGCAAAUUAAGUCAGCUGUGAAAUCUCCGAGCUUAACUCGGAACGGUCAGCUGAUACUGAUCUGCUAGAGUGCGGAAGGGGCAAUCGGAAUUCUUGGUGUAGCGGUGAAAUGCGUAGAUAUCAAGAGGAACACCUGAGGUGAAGACGGUUCUCUGGGCCUUACCUGACGCUGAGGAGCGAAAGCGUGGGGAGCGAACAGG